AUUGAACGCUGGCGGCAUGCUUUACACAUGCAAGUCGAACGGUAACAGGCCGCAAGGUGCUGACGAGCGGCGAACGGGUGAGUAAUGCAUCGGAACGUGCCCAGUCGUGGGGGAUAACGCAGCGAAAGCUGCGCUAAUACCGCAUACGAUCUAUGGAUGAAAGCGGGGGACCGUAAGGCCUCGCGCGAUUGGAGCGGCCGAUGUCAGAUUAGGUAGUUGGUGGGGUAAAGGCUCGCCAAGCCAACGAUCUGUAGCUGGUCUGAGAGGACGACCAGGCACACUGGGACUGGGACACGGCCCAGACUCCUACGGGAGGCAGCAGUGGGGAAUUUUAGACAAUGGGCGCAAGCCUGAUCCAGCAAUGCCGCGCGCAGGAAGAAGGCCUUCGGGUUGUAAACUGCUUUUGUCAGGGAAGAAACGCUCUGGGUUAAUACCUCGGGGUAAUGACGGUACCUGAAGAAUAAGCACCGGCUAACUACGUGCCAGCCGCCGCCGUAACAC
rnacentral:rRNA from 1 species